rnacentral:tRNA from 1 species
GAUAGAGCACCAGAUUCCUAAUCUGGGGGCCACAGGUUCGAAUCCUGUCGGGCGCACCA